rnacentral:tRNA from 1 species
UCCUGGGUGGCUCAGCGGUUGAGCGCCUGCCUUUGACGCAGGGUGUGACCUGAAGCCCCGGGAU